GACGAACGCUGGCGGCGUGCUUAACACAUGCCAGUCGAACGGAAAGGCCCUGCUUUUGUGGGGUGCUCGAGUGGCGAACGGGUGAGUAACACGUGAGUAACCUGCCCUUGACUUUGGGAUAACUUCAGGAAACUGGGGCUAAUACCGGAUAGGAGCUCCUGCUGCAUGGUGGGGGUUGGAAAGUUUCGGCGGUUGGGGAUGGACUCGCGGCUUAUCAGCUUGUUGGUGGGGUAGUGGCUUACCAAGGCUUUGACGGGUAGCCGGCCUGAGAGGGUGACCGGCCACAUUGGGAAUGAGAUACGGCCCAGACUCCUACGGGAGGCAGCAGUGGGGAAUAUUGCAAAAUGGGCGGAAGCCUGAUGCAGCAACGCCGCGUGCGGGAUGACGGCCUUCGGGUUGUAAACCGCUUUCGCCUGUGACGAAGCGUGAGUGACGGUAAUGGGUAAAGAAGCACCGGCUAACUACGUG
rnacentral:rRNA from 1 species